rnacentral:rRNA from 1 species
GGGGCCUACGUGAGCUGUAGGCUUUGCCUGCUAUCUCUUACCCAUGUCUUUUAAGUACCUUACGUUUCCUCGGCGGGUCCGCCCGCCGAUUGGACAAUUUAAACCAUUUGCAGUUGCAAUCAGCGUCUGAAAAAACUUAAUAGUUACAACUUUCAACAACGGAUCUCUUGGUUCUGGCAUCGAUGAAGAACGCAGCGAAAUGCGAUAAGUAGUGUGAAUUGCAGAAUUCAGUGAAUCAUCGAAUCUUUGAACGCACAUUGCGCCCCUUGGUAUUCCAUGGGGCAUGCCUGUUCGAGCGUCAUUUGUACCUUCAAGCUCUGCUUGGUGUUGGGUGUUUGUCUCGCCUCUGCGUGUAGACUCGCCUCAAAACAAUUGGCAGCCGGCGUAUUGAUUUCGGAGCGCAGUACAUCUCGCGCUUUGCACUCAUAACGACGACGUCCAAAAGUACAUUUUUACACUCUUGACCUCGGAUCAGGUAGGGAUACCCGCUGAACUUAAGCAUAUCAAUAAGCGGAGGAAUA